GGUUUCCGUAGGUGAAGUGCGGAAGGAUCAUUA
rnacentral:rRNA from 1 species